rnacentral:lncRNA from 1 species
ACACAUCAAGAGUUGGUGUUAUAAUUUUUUUAGGCAAAGAAAGAGUUUUUCUACUGGUUAAUCUCUUCUGUUUCCAUGUCAUCUCUUUGAAUUCUAUGGAAAAGAAUUAAUGGAUACCGUGUAAGGAAGAGGGGACGCCAAGAGUUGGCGCCCCUUCAUUCCUUAUAUAAGGGGCGUCCCAUAUGGCAUAAAAUUCAUCCAAAAAUUGGUUUGGACAUGGGA